ACUUCCACCUGGCUUACCUCCUCAGUUAUGCGUCAAGGCUUGUAUCGCCUCGAGCAUCUUGUGGGUUUCUUGUGUUGCAUACCUAAUUGAUGGCAUCGUUUUGACUGAUUGAAGUUCCUUUUUGUCGUGUGUUGCAUUUGUGAUGCUUGAUGAACCUUGAAGUGGUCUCUAUGAUCCAUCCAGUUGAUGCAUAUGCAUUGAUCGUGUGGCCCAUUGAGCUUUGCUUGGUCUCUUGGAUACGGAACAUGAUGUUGGCUUUGGGUUCUUUCAUGAUCCCUCUUUUGCCCUUGUUUGCUAUUCUCUAAACGACGGUUCAUGCACGCCUAGGCUCGUACCUGCGUGAUGUUCUAUGUCGAAGAGGAAUGC
rnacentral:misc_RNA from 1 species